AGGGAUGGAGGCCUUCGGGUUGUAAACCUCUUUCGCCAGUGAAGCAGGCCUGUCCCUUUUGUGGGUGGGUUGACGGUAGCUGGAUAAGAAGCGCCGGCUAACUACGUGCCAGCAGCCGCGGUAAUACGUAGGGCGCGAGCGUUGUCCGGAAUUAUUGGGCGUAAAGAGCUCGUAGGCGGCUGGUCGCGUCUGUCGUGAAAUCCUCUGGCUUAACUGGGGGCUUGCGGUGGGUACGGGCCGGCUUGAGUGCGGUAGGGGAGACUGGAACUCCUGGUGUAGCGGUGGAAUGCGCAGAUAUCAGGAAGAACACCGGUGGCGAAGGCGGGUCUCUGGGCCGUUACUGACGCUGAGGAGCGAAAGCGUGGGGAGCGAACAGGAUUAGAUACCCUGGUAGUCCACGCCGUAAACGUUGGGCACUAGGUGUGGGGGGCCUUUUCCGGGUCUUCCGCGCCGUAGCUAACGCAUUAAGUGCCCCGCCUGG
rnacentral:rRNA from 1 species